rnacentral:rRNA from 1 species
AAUAUUGCACAAUGGGGGAAACCCUGAUGCAGCCAUGCCGCGUGUGUGAAGAAGGCCUUCGGGUUGUAAAGCACUUUCAGUUGUGAGGAAAAGUUAGUAGUUAAUACCUGCUAGCUGUGACGUUAACAACAGAAGAAGCACCGGCUAACUCCGUGCCAGCAGCCGCGGUAAUAC